CUUGUGGGGAGGGGGUCCCUCAGCCUGGAUUGCAAGAGGGCACAGGCCAGGCCAAGGGACCCCACCGGUGCAUG
rnacentral:pre_miRNA from 1 species